rnacentral:lncRNA from 1 species
CUUUUUUCCCUGCUCUGCCCAUGUCGCUGCUUCUGCCUAUCUACAUUUUCUCAGACGCCAUUGAUGUAGAGUGCUGCGGGGUACCCUCCCCCACGAAGCGCGGUGCGCCCUCCCCCACGAAGCGCGGCGCCGUGGGAGUUGCUGCUGCUGCACUGGAUGCCAUCGCCAUGGCCGCGCCCUUCGCCAUGGCCGAACGCGACGGGGCCGAGCACCGGCGCUACUACGAGGGGGGGCCAUGACCUGCGAGCUCACAUGCCAGGGUGGCCAUGGCUUACGAGCUCGAGGCAUGUUACUUAAAACUCUAGAUUUGCUUCCAUGUUUGUUUUUUCUAGAACCAGUGUAUUAAUUUGUUACCACCGUCUUCGUUUUUUGCUGGAACUAAUCAAAUUUUGCUGCCAUGUCUUUUUGCUGGAAUCAUUUUGUACCACUUUUUUGCUACAACAGUUUUCGUUUUUUGCUACUACCGGCACUGUCGUUUGUUACAUCCUUUUUCAUGACACUAUUAGGAAAAGGGCUAUAGUAAUGGCGCACUAUACACAUAGUAAUGGUGCACUUUGUACAGGUGCGCCAUUACUAUGUCAACUAGUAAUGGCGCACUAUACCCUGGUGCGCCACUGCUAACAACUCAUAACCAAAUGCACCCCCCCUCCCCGACCGCCUUUUCAGUUUAAAAAAAAAGAAAAUGAUGGAAAUGUCAAAAAAAAAAGAAAAUAAGUUUCCCACGUGAUAUGUCGUCUAGUUGUUGGGAAAAUUUACAAAUAUGAAUUUCGACUUUAUUUGCUAAAUCCCUUUGGAAUUUAGUAAAAUGGGCAUAACUUUUGCAUACGAACUCGGAUUAAAAAGUCUUUUAUAUGAAAAAUCAUCUACUCAAAAAGUUACAUCCGAAUUCAACCGGGGGAACCCCGUUGAAGAUUUUCAGAAUCCCCAAAAACUAACAGAACGAAAGAUACGGGGCUUUUAAGAUCUAGAGGGGGGAAAAUGGAAAAAAAGUUCAAACUUACUAAUGGCGCACCAUUUGCUAGGUGCGCCACUAGUAAGAAACCAAUUUUUUGGAAAAAAAUGUUCAAAAUAUGAUACGUAAUAUGACCGGGAAGUUUGAAAUAUUUUUUCAAAAUUUCAUCACACUCAUGAACAUGAACAUGAACAAAGUCAUAGACAUCAACAAGGUUUAAUAGGAUUGAUAUGAUAGAUAUAUCAACAAGUGCCUGUUAAGUGAGCUGGUGCCGGGUUGGAGUAGUGUGAGGAUGGGUGACCUUCCGAAAAGUUUGACCACAGAGUACUAGCUGGACCACAAGUUGUUUUUGCUACAACCGGUGUCAAUUUUUGCUACCACCGGCUUCUUGAUUUUUCUGGAACCAGCGCUCGAUUUUUCAUUUUUGCUACCACUAGCGUUUUGAUUUGCUGGAACAAGCUUCAAUUUUUGCUACCAUCAGGUUUUUAGUUUGUUGGAACGGCGUCGAUUUUUUCCUAUUUUGCUACCAACGUUUUAUUGGUUUUUGCUUGAAUCGUCAAGAAUUUUUGCUACGACCGGCAAAUUAAGGACGAGGAACAACACGAGCUCUACGACGGGUGCUGCGGCCGGCAACGUGCGGCUCUGCGAGCCGCGGGGGGCCUCGCCGGAGAUGCGCCGCGGGGGCCUUGCUGGAGCUGGGCCUCGCCGGAAAUGCGCCGCGGGGGCCUUACUGGAGCUGCGCGGUGCUGCGAGCUGCAGGGGAUCUCGUCGGAGAUGCGCCGUGCUGUGAGCCGCGGGGGAUCUCGCCGGAGAUGUGCCACGGGGCCCGAGGAAGAAGAAGCUGGGGCGAUUUUUUAUUUAUUUUUGCUCCAGAUCCAACCGCCGCGCGGCUUGUAUCGAGCGGCUAUGGCUGGACCGGCCGAAAGUUUCGGCCGGUGCGCCGGCGCCUAGCCGUGCCCAUAAUUUUAUGACUCGUCGAUUCCGUGUAACUGAAAAGUUACCAUAAUCUUUGUAUUUGACACCCCUAAAAAACUAACCCUUUAUUUGGCGACUUAAGAGCCAAUAGGGUUUGCGCGAGAUCGAGCCCUGCACGGGAUGCGCGGGAGUUUUUUUUUUUUGAGAAACUGAUGUGCAAGAGUUAUAUCUCGCUUAUAGUGAGAUAUAUCAUGCCCUCAUCUGAAAGCUUUUACCCACACGUAGCCAUUAAGCCGGCCUUUAUUUUACAUUUUUUUUUCUUUACCAGGUUUUACCCUGUAUUUGGUGACUUCAGAGCCAAAUAGGGUUUGUGGCGUGAUCGAGCCCCGCAACGGAUAUGCGGGAACUAUAUCA